UUAAGCGACUAAGCGUACACGGUGGAUGCCCUGGCAGUCAGAGGCGAUGAAGGACGUGCUAAUCUGCGAAAAGCGUCGGUAAGGUGAUAUGAACCGUUAUAACCGGCGAUGUCCGAAUGGGGAAACCCAGUGCAAUUCGUUGCACUAUCGUUAACUGAAUACAUAGGUUAACGAGGCGAACCGGGGGAACUGAAACAUCUAAGUACCCCGAGGAAAAGAAAUCAACCGAGAUUCCCCCAGUAGCGGCGAGCGAACGGGGAGCAGCCCAGAGUCUGAAUCAGCUUGUGUGUUAGUGGAACGGUCUGGAAAGUCCGACGGUACAGGGUGAUAGUCCCGUACACCAAAAUGCACAGGUUGUGAACUCGAAGAGUAGGGCGGGACACGUGGUAUCCUGUCUGAAUAUGGGGGGACCAUCCUCCAAGGCUAAAUACUCCUGACUGACCGAUAGUGAACCAGUACCGUGAGGGAAAGGCGAAAAGAACCCCGGCGAGGGGAGUGAAAAAGAACCUGAAACCGUGUACGUACAAGCAGUGGGAGCACCUUCGGGUGUGACUGCGUACCUUUUGUAUAAUGGGUCAGCGACUUAUAUUCUGUAGCAAGGUUAACCGUAUAGGGGAGCCGCAGGGAAACCGAGUCUUAACUGGGCGUUAAGUUGCAGGGUAUAGACCCGAAACCCGGUGAUCUAGCCAUGGGCAGGUUGAAGGUUGGGUAACACUAACUGGAGGACCGAACCGACUAAUGUUGAAAAAUUAGCGGAUGACUUGUGGCUGGGGGUGAAAGGCCAAUCAAACCGGGAGAUAGCUGGUUCUCCCCGAAAGCUAUUUAGGUAGCGCCUCGUGAAUUCAUCUUCGGGGGUAGAGCACUGUUUCGGCUAGGGGGUCAUCCCGACUUACCAACCCGAUGCAAACUACGAAUACCGAAGAAUGUUAUCACGGGAGACACACGGCGGGUGCUAACGUCCGUCGUGAAGAGGGAAACAACCCAGACCGCCAGCUAAGGUCCCAAAGUCAUGGUUAAGUGGGAAACGAUGUGGGAAGGCACAGACAGCCAGGAUGUUGGCUUAGAAGCAGCCAUCAUUUAAAGAAAGCGUAAUAGCUCACUGGUCGAGUCGGCCUGCGCGGAAGAUGUAACGGGGCUAAACCAUGCACCGAAUCUGCGGCAGCGACACUAUGUGUUGUUGGGUAGGGGAGCGUUCUGUAAGCCUGCGAAGGUGUGCUGUGAGGCAUGCUGGAGGUAUCAGAAGUGCGAAUGCUGACAUAAGUAACGAUAAAGCGGGUGAAAAGCCCGCUCGCCGGAAGACCAAGGGUUCCUGUCCAACGUUAAUCGGGGCAGGGUGAGUCGACCCCUAAGGCGAGGCCGAAAGGCGUAGUCGAUGGGAAACAGGUUAAUAUUCCUGUACUUGGUGUUACUGCGAAGGGGGGACGGAGAAGGCUAUGUUAGCCGGGCGACGGUUGUCCCGGUUUAAGCAUGUAGGCUGGUUGUCCAGGCAAAUCCGGAUAAUCAAGGCUGAGGUGUGAUGACGAGGCACUACGGUGCUGAAGUAACAAAUGCCCUGCUUCCAGGAAAAGCCUCUAAGCAUCAGGUAACAUUAAAUCGUACCCCAAACCGACACAGGUGGUCAGGUAGAGAAUACCAAGGCGCUUGAGAGAACUCGGGUGAAGGAACUAGGCAAAAUGGUGCCGUAACUUCGGGAGAAGGCACGCUGGUGUGUAGGUGAAGUCCCUGCGGAUGGAGCUGAGACCAGUCGAAGAUACCAGCUGGCUGCAACUGUUUAUUAAAAACACAGCACUGUGCAAACACGAAAGUGGACGUAUACGGUGUGACGCCUGCCCGGUGCCGGAAGGUUAAUUGAUGGGGUUAUCCGUAAGGAGAAGCUCUUGAUCGAAGCCCCGGUAAACGGCGGCCGUAACUAUAACGGUCCUAAGGUAGCGAAAUUCCUUGUCGGGUAAGUUCCGACCUGCACGAAUGGCGUAAUGAUGGCCAGGCUGUCUCCACCCGAGACUCAGUGAAAUUGAACUCGCUGUGAAGAUGCAGUGUACCCGCGGCAAGACGGAAAGACCCCGUGAACCUUUACUAUAGCUUGACACUGAACAUUGAGCCUUGAUGUGUAGGAUAGGUGGGAGGCUUUGAAGCGUGGACGCCAGUCUGCGUGGAGCCAACCUUGAAAUACCACCCUUUAAUGUUUGAUGUUCUAACGUUGGCCCCUGACCGGGGUUGCGGACAGUGUCUGGUGGGUAGUUUGACUGGGGCGGUCUCCUCCUAAAGCGUAACGGAGGAGCACGAAGGUUAGCUAAUCCUGGUCGGACAUCAGGAGGUUAGUGCAAUGGCAUAAGCUAGCUUGACUGCGAGCGUGACGGCGCGAGCAGGUGCGAAAGCAGGUCAUAGUGAUCCGGUGGUUCUGAAUGGAAGGGCCAUCGCUCAACGGAUAAAAGGUACUCCGGGGAUAACAGGCUGAUACCGCCCAAGAGUUCAUAUCGACGGCGGUGUUUGGCACCUCGAUGUCGGCUCAUCACAUCCUGGGGCUGAAGUAGGUCCCAAGGGUAUGGCUGUUCGCCAUUUAAAGUGGUACGCGAGCUGGGUUUAGAACGUCGUGAGACAGUUCGGUCCCUAUCUGCCGUGGGCGCUGGAGAAUUGAGGGGGGCUGCUCCUAGUACGAGAGGACCGGAGUGGACGCAUCACUGGUGUUCGGGUUGUCAUGCCAAUGGCACUGCCCGGUAGCUAAAUGCGGAAGAGAUAAGUGCUGAAAGCAUCUAAGCACGAAACUUGCCCCGAGAUGAGUUCUCCCUGAGACUUUAAGUCUCCUGAAGGAACGUUAAAGACGAUGACGUUGAUAGGCCGGGUGUGUAAGCGCAGCGAUGCGUUGAGCUAACCGGUACUAAUGAACCGUGAGGCUUAACCU
rnacentral:rRNA from 1 species